rnacentral:lncRNA from 1 species
AUUUCCCUCUGAAGCAAGGCGGUUCCCUAAACUGUCAAAACAGUAACCCAGCAAAAAUAAACGAGAUGCUUUCUGCUGCAUUAGCGCCCUACAUCCGUUCAGUGGUGGGUCAGAGAGGGGCCAGAGGCAAUACAGAUAAAGAUGAGGCAAUGGGGAGAGGAUCACACCUUCCAGCAGAUCCCUUCAGCUAAAAGCUCUUACAGAUGGCCUCACUCAUUUUUGCAAUGCUUUCUAACGAUGGAAAAUACUCCUGAAAGCAGCACUGAGAGCACGUGGAAGAACACAGGGACAAUCCAAUAACGAAGGGAUUUGGCUUCAUGGAAAUCUGAAAUGCAGGACCGAGUAUGCACAGCUGUGACCAAAGUCAAUGGGAACUGUGCCUGAAUGUACAAUACCAAGCUGUCUGCUAAAACAGUUCCUUGGCAUUUUCAGUGGAAGACCCCAUAACAGGCAGAUGGUGUUUGGCUUUUGCUGUUUUAUCACCUGUGUCACAUCUCAGAGGUGACAGCUAAAUGGAUGGCGCUGGGAAGCACUCCCAUGUGGUGGUGAUGAGCUGCACAGGAUGAUCCUUCAGAGCUGGGUCUGGACAGCCUACAUUAAAGAAGGCAAGCGUUGGUCUAGGACAUAUUACUCUCUUAGAGAGCACAUGCUGUCCAUCCUAUACACUGACCAAACCAGGUGCCCUAUAGGAAAAAAUAAAUAAAUCUGUUACCAUGUAAUUAAAAACUGG